rnacentral:rRNA from 1 species
UACGAAGGGGGCUAGCGUUGCUCGGAAUCACUGGGCGUAAAGCGCACGUAGGCGGCUUUCUAAGUCAGGGGUGAAAUCCUGGAGCUCAACUCCAGAACCGCCUUUGAUACUGGGAAGCUCGAGUCCGGAAGAGGUGAGUGGAACUCCGAGUGUAGAGGUGAAAUUCGUAGAUAUUCGGAAGAACACCAGUGGCGAAGGCGGCUCACUGGUCCGGUACUGACGCUGAGGUGCGAAAGCGUGGGGAGCAAACAGG